CAACAUUUGGGAAUGGCGGCUUGAACACGCCAAAACGAAAAAGAAGAUCAUCUUGGUUUAAUAUGGCUUUCUGCUGCCAGACUUCAUCAGGCUGGGCACAUUCACUUUCACUAUCUAUGCUGGCCCCGGGUGUAAAUGUUGGAUUCAGGAUCAGUUCAUCUGGUGCUGAUGAUGCUGUUUUGACAAGAGGAUUAUCCUGACCCAGUUCUGAACCUUG